ACCCAUUUUAUUUAAAAUAAUUUAAAUUUUGAGAAAAAAAAAACAAGGAAAAGAAUAAUAUAUAUAUAUUUAGAGCUGUUUAUAAUGCGAAACCUAAAAUAAUGUUAAAUAAUACAGAAAUUUCUGCAUCAUUAUUUCAGCUUAUCCUUAAGAUAGAGAGAGAGAGAGAGGGAUAUUCUAAUCCAUUGAAGAUUAAGUAUACGCAUGAGAGUAUUCUUUUCCAUUGAGCGAAAAAGCAAAGGAAAUGCAAGUUGCAGUAUUCUUCUUGAUUCGUCAGAGACAAAAGCGCUUCUUCAGCAUCAUGCUCGAUGGCAGGAGAUAUACACAAUAAAUGCAAAAAUAUCGAAGGAUAGUAUUAAGUUGCCCGAACUUAAGAAUUAUAUAAAUAUGUGUAAGAAUAAAUGAAAAUGUUAAGCAUUAUAUAAUCUAAGAUAUGUAUAUGUGAAUGAAUGUAAAUGAUAAACAUCAUAUAAUUUAAGAGAUAUGUAUUUAUGUGUAAAACAAAUGUAAAUGAUAAACAUGUUAAUAACUUAAACGAUA